AGCUUGUUGGUGAGGUAACAGCUCACCAAGGCUACGAUGUCUAGGGGGUCUGAGAGGAUGGUCCCCCACACUGGUACUGAGACACGGACCAGACUCCUACGGGAGGCAGCAGUGAGGAAUAUUGGUCAAUGGGCGAAAGCCUGAACCAGCCAUGCCGCGUGAAGGAUGACAGCCCUAUGGGUUGUAAACUUCUUUUGUACGGGAAGAAACGCUUCUACGUGUAGAGGUUUGACGGUACCGUACGAAUAAGCAUCGGCUAACUCCGUGCCAGCAGCCGCGGUAAUACGGAGGAUGCAAGCGUUAUCCGGAUUUAUUGGGUUUAAAGGGUACGUAGGCGGGAGCUUAAGUCAGUGGUGAAAUCCUGCAGCUUAACUGUAGAACUGUCAUUGAUACUGGGCUUCUUGAAUGUAGUUGAGGUAGGCGGAAUGUGUAAUGUAGCGGUGAAAUGCUUAGAUAUUACACAGAACACCGAUUGCGAAGGCAGCUUACUAAACUACGAUUGACGCUGAGGUACGAAAGCGUGGGGAGCGAACAGGAUUAGAUACCCUGGUAGUCCACGCUGUAAACGAUGAUCACUCGUUGUUGGCAAUACACCGUCAGCGACUGAGCGAAAGCAUUAAGUGAUCCACCUGGGGAGUACAACCGCAAGGUUGAAACUCAAAGGAAUUGACGGGGGCCCGCACAAGCGGAGGAACAUGUGGUUUAAUUCGAUGAUACGCGAGGAACCUUACCUGGGCUUAAAUGUAGAACGACGGACCGGGAAACUGGUCUUUCUUCGGACGGUCUGCAAGGUGCUGCAUGGCUGUCGUCAGCUCGUGCCGUGAGGUGUCGGGUUAAGUCCCAUAACGAGCGCAACCCUCAUCAUUAGUUGCCAGCGGGUAAUGCCGGGGACUCUCCCGAAACUGCCGGUGUAAACCGAGAGGAAGGUGGGGAUGACGUCAAGUCAGCACGGCCCUUAUGUCCAGGGCUACACACGUGUUACAAUGGUCGGUACAAAGGGCAGCUACCUGGCGACAGGAUGCUAAUCUC
rnacentral:rRNA from 1 species